CCUACGGGAGGCAGCAGUGAGGAAUAUUGGUCAAUGGCCGGAAGGCUGAACCAGCCAUGCCGCGUGAUGGUCAGUGCCCUAUGGGCGUUAAACUUCUUUUGUGCGGGAGCAAUAAUGGUCACGUUUGGCCAGACUCGCGUACCGUCCUAAUACGCAUCGGCUCACUCCGUGCCAGCAGCCGCGGUAAUACGGGGGAUGCAAGCGUUAUCCGGGUUUAUUGGGUUUCAAGGGUGCGUAGGCUGGGAGGUAUGUCAGCGGUGAAAUGCCCCCGCUCAACGGGGUGAAGUGCCAUUGAUACUGCCGUGCUGGAAUGCGGAUGCCGUGGGAGGAAUGUGUGGUGUAGCGGUGAAAUGCAUAGAUAUCACACAGAACACCGAUUGCGAAGGCAUCUCACGAAGCCGCGAUUGACGCUGAUGCACGAAAGCGUGGGUAGCAAACAGGAUUAGAUACCCUGGUAGUC
rnacentral:rRNA from 1 species